AAAAUCUGUCACUGUUUUCCCAUCUAUCUGCCACGAAGUGAUGGAACCAGAUACCAUGAUCUUAGUUUUUUGAAUGUUGAGUUUUAACAAGCUUUUUCACUCUCACAUUCAUCAAGAGGCUCUUUAGUUCCUCUUUGCUUUCUGCCAUAAGGGUGGUACCAUCUGCAUAUCUGAGGUUGCUGAUAUUUUUCCCAGCAAUCUUGGUUCCAGCUUGUGCUUUAUCCAGCCCAACAGUUUGCAUGAUGUACUCUUCACAUAAGUUAAAUAAGCAGGGUGACAAUACAGCCUUGACAUACUCCUUUUCCAAUUUUGAACCAGUCUGUUGUUCCAUGGUCGAUUCUAACCAUUGCUUCUUGACCUGCACACAGGUUUCUCAGGAGGCAGUUACACAUCAGAAAGAAGGCCACAGAGACACGGAAUUGCCAGACUCAAUUACUGUGUUACUGACACCAGCCUGUGACUGUCUUUGAAAUAAUGCAAGAGGAAGAAAUCAAGAUGCUAUCAUCUUUGUUCCUUGUCACUGAUUCCUGACAGCCAGCCCUUGCCUUAUGUAAGCCCCUAGACUCCUCAUGGAGGGGUCAGUUCUUGAGGCCUGAGCCUACGCUGUUCCCCUCUCCACCCGCUGAGGACUAAAGCCACCUUUCUAUUUCCUCCAAACUCUCCG
ensembl:lncRNA